rnacentral:snRNA from 1 species
AUCGCUUCUCGGCCUUUUGGCUAAGAUCAAGUGUAGUAACACCCAAAUAAUUGAUAUUAUAGAACAGAUUGGAAUGGAUUUUAU